GCUGGUGAACUCAGUUGGUUAGCAUGUGGUGCUAAUAACACCAAGGUUGCGGGUUCGAUCCACACAGGACAGCU